rnacentral:rRNA from 1 species
GAACGAGGUAGCAUACCUAGUGGCAGACGGNGUGAGUAACACGUAGUCAACCUACCCUUGCGUGGGGGAUAACUAGCCGAAAGGUUAGCUAAUACCGCAUACGAUCGUCGAGAGGCAUCUCUUGACGAUGAAAGGAGCAAUUCGCGCGAGGACGGGACUGCGUCCCAUUAGCUAGUUGGUAAGGUAACGGCUUACCAAGGCUUCGAUGGGUAGCUGGCUUGAGAGAGUGACCAGCCACACUGGAACUGAGACACGGUCCAGACUCCUACGGGAGGCAGCAGUGAGGAAUUUUCCGCAAUGGGCGCAAGCCUGACGGAGCGACGCCGCGUGUGGGAUGAAGGCCCUAGGGUCGUAAACCACUGUCGAAGGGGACGAUAUUGACGGUACCCUUGGAGGAAGCCCCGGCUAACUACGUG